GAUGAACGCUAGCGGCAGGCCUAAUACAUGCAAGUCGAACGAGAUUAAGAGGCUUGCUUCUUAUGAAAGUGGCGCACGGGUGCGUAACGCGUAUGCAACCUACCUUAAUCAGGGGGAUAGCCCGAAGAAAUUCGGAUUAAGACCGCAUAAAACAAAGGAAAGCAUUAUUCAAUGUUCAAAUAUUUAUAGGAUUAAGAUGGGCAUUCGUGGAAUUCGGUAUUUGGCGGGGUAACGGCCCGCCAAGGCCACGUUAACUAGGGGAUUUGAGAGGAUGCCCCCCCACACUGUUACUGAGACACGGCCCAGACUCCUCCGGGGGGCACAAUUAAGGAAUAUGGGCAAAGGGGGGGAACCCUGACCCACCCAUGCCGCGUGAAGAAAGCCAGCCCCCUGGGUCGUAAACUUCUUUUAUUGGGAAAAAAACCUUUCUACGUGUAGGAAGCGGAAUUUACCGAAGGAAAAAGGACCGGCUACCUCCGU
rnacentral:rRNA from 1 species